rnacentral:rRNA from 1 species
CGAUCGACGAGUUUGAUCAUGGCUCAGAAUCAACGCUGGCGGCGUGCCUCAGACAUGCAAGUCGAACGAUUAAAGCUCUCUUCGGAGAGUGUAUAGAGUGGCGCACGGGUGAGUAACACGUAAGUAAUCUACCCUCGAGUGGGGAAUAACAACCGGAAACGGUUGCUAAUACCGCAUAAUGCAGCGGCACCGCAAGGUGACAGUUGUUAAAGAUUUAUCGCUUGAGGAGGAGCUUGCGGCAGAUUAGCUAGUUGGUAGGGUAACGGCUUACCAAGGCUACGAUCUGUAACCGGUCUAAGAGGACGGUCGGUCACACUGACACUGAAUAACGGGUCAGACUCCUACGGGAGGCAGCAGUCGGGAAUUUUGGGCAAUGGGGGAAACCCUGACCCAGCAACGCCGCGUGAAGGAUGAAGUAUUUCGGUAUGUAAACUUCGAAAGAAUAGGAAGAAUUAAUGACGGUACUAUUUAUAAGGUCCGGCUAACUACGUG